CCCUUAGAUGUCCGGGGCUGCACGCGCGCUACACUGAAGGAAUCAGCGUGCUAAAACCAUUGUCGAAAGGCAUUGGUAAACCCAUUAAGAUCCUACGUGAUUGGGAUCGGGAAUUGCAAUUAUUUCCCUUGAACGAGGAAUUCCCAGUAAGUGUGGGUCAUAAGCUCGCGUUGAUUACGUCCCUGCCCUUUGUACACACCGCCCGUCGCUGCCCGGGACUGAGCCGUUUCGAGAAAAGCGGGGACUGCUGCUGUCGGGGCUUUCGGGCCUUGGCUUCGGUGGAAACCGCUUUAAUCGCAGUGGCUUGAACCGGGCAAAAGUCGUAACA
rnacentral:rRNA from 1 species